UUCAAAUUUGAUUCGCUGACAUUCAUUCCUUUGUUCUAAUUACUCAAUUUUACUGGUUCAGGUGAAUUGAGUAAUUAGAACAAAGGAAUGAAUGUCAGCCAAUCAAAUUUGA
rnacentral:pre_miRNA from 1 species